UAGGGAAUCUUCCACAAUGGGCGAAAGCCUGAUGGAGCAACGCCGCGUGUGUGAUGAAGGGUUUCGGCUCGUAAAACACUGUUGUAAGGGAAGAAUGACAUUGAGAGUAACUGUUCAAUGUGUGACGGUAUCUUACCAGAAAGGAACGGCUAAAUACGUGCCAA
rnacentral:rRNA from 1 species